rnacentral:rRNA from 1 species
ACCUGACUGCUAUCGGAUUGAUACUAAGCCAUGCGAGUCUUUGUAGCAAUACAAGGCAGACGGCUCAGUAACACGUAGUCAAUCUAACCUAUGGACGAGGAUAACCUCGGGAAACUGAGAAUAAUACUCGAUAGAUCAUUAUGCCUGGAACGGUUUAUGGUUCAAAUGAAUUUCGCCAUAGGGUGGGACUGCGGUCUAUCAGCUUGUUGGUGAGGUAAUGGCCCACCAAGGCUAUAACAGAUACGGGCUCUGAGAGGAGAAGCCCGGAGAUGGGUACUGAGACACGGACCCAGGCCCUAUGGGGCGCAGCAGGCGAGAAACCUUUGCAAUGUGCGCAAGCACGACAAGGUUAAUCCGAGUGUUUCCUGCUAAAGGAAUCUUUUGUUAGUUCUAAAACCACUGAUGAAUAAGGGGUGGGCAAGUUCUGGUGUCAGCCGCCGCGGUAAAACCAGCACCUCAAGUGGUCAGGAUGAUUAUUGGGCCUAAAGCAUCCGUAGCCUGUUCUGUAAGUUUCCGGUUAAAUCCAUUAGCUCAACUAAUGGGCCGCCGAAAAUACUGCAGAACUAGGGAGUGGGAGAGGUAGACGGUACUCGGUAGGAAGGGGUAAAAUCCUUUGAU